rnacentral:lncRNA from 13 species
ACUCACUGGCUGUGUACUAUGGAUAACCCUCUCAAUCUUAUAAGAGAGGCGAGGUACAGUCCAGAGGUUAACGGGUGGAGUGGUACAGUCCAGAGGUUAACAGGAUGGAGUGGUACAGUCCAGAGGUUAACGGGGUGAGUGGUACAGUCCAGAGGUUAACAGGGUGGAGUGGUACAGUCCAGAGGUUAACGGGGAUGGAGUGGUACAGUCCAGAGGUUAACGGGGUGAGUGGUACAGUCCAGAGGUUAACAGGGUGGAGUGGUACAGUCCAGAGGUUAACGGGGUGAGUGGUACAGUCCAGAGGUUAACAGGGUGGAGUGGUACAGUCCAGAGGUU